GGACUACUAGGGUAUCUAAUCCCGUUCGCUACCCUGGCUUUCGCUCCUCAGCGUCAGAAUCAGGCCAGAAAGCCGCCUUCGCCACCGGUGUUCCUCCGAAUCUCUACGCAUUUCACCGCUACACUCGGAAUUCCGCUUUCCUCUCCUGUCCUCAAGAGUUGCCGUAUCGCAGAUGAUUUCUCCGUUAAGCAGAGAAAUUUACUCCACGACGCGCAACCCAGCCUACGAGCUCUUUACGCCCAGUGAUUCCGGACAACGCUCGCCCCCUACGUCUUACCGCGGCUGCUGGCAC
rnacentral:rRNA from 1 species